ACAAACCAAAAGAACGCAUAAUCAUUCACGCAUAAACAACGCCUCUGGUUUUCCUCUCUACUCUGUCUCGUCUCAACGCUAAAGCCUCUCCAGCUCUGUCUCGGUUUCCUCUAUCUCGUCCCAUAACAAUAUCACGUUUGCCUCUCUAGCUCAACAAACCCAUACCCACAAUAGAAGAACCAGACAACGGCGCACCAUCGAAUCUCAAUCCAACUCGGCGACGCCACCCUCUGGCUUCUUCUAUUCCGAUCCAACCUCAAAUCCACAUCCAAUCCAACUCAGCGGCGCCUCUUCCGUCUUUCUGCCCUUUUGUUCGAAGUUUCCACCGUUUAUCGAAUCUAAAAUCUCAGGUUGCUAGGAACAAAAUCAAUAUAUUAUUCCUUUUGGUUCAUAGCAGAAAAAGCGUGGUGCUAGAAAAGACCAUACUGGUGAAGAAGAAACAUGGCAGCUAUCAUGUUUUUACCCCAUGAUUGAGGUACAUGACUGGGAAGUUGCUUUUGAAGUUGGAUACUAUUAAAUUCAUAGCAGUAAAUCAUACCAUAAUUUCAACUCUAAACGAUAUCUUAAAAAAAAUAUAUAUAUUUUCCACUUUUUAUCUUACUGUCUAUGAAAUGAAUCUUUAUACUUAUCGUAGUCACUCUUGUGAACUCAUUUCUUUUGGAUUAUGGUAUUUUACACUACCUAAUAGCAGCAACGACUGCAAUGGCAACCCAACCUAGUGGCUGUAGUGAUGCUUGAAUAGUGAAAAUGCCCAUGGGACAAGAUUGAGUAGCCUAACUCCCUGUUUCAUCUUUUCAUUUUAUGGAAAUUGAUUUAUAUCAAAGUUUGUGUUGUGCUUGUGGUUGGAGAAGAACACCUACUCUAACAGAUGCACACUUGUGUUAUUGUGAUGGAAUUUGGAGUUGAUCAGACAUGCGGCCCUCUUGUCCACAUUAGCUGCCAUAUUUGUUAUUUUUUAGGGUCUAUACUGACUGAGUUCAUUUACUUGAUAUAAAAUUUUUUAUUUAUCUUAGUUUUGGUUAAAUGUGGAAUCAAUUGGAAAAAAGAAUUAUCUUUUCUUUUUUCUAAGAUCUAAUCAUAUUAGCUUCUGCCCCUCUCUUUGCAUCUGCAUUUUUUUAAUAAGUGAAGGAUAGACGUUAAAUAAGUAAUGACUAAUGAACAAUAUAUGCAACUAAAAACAUGCAUACAGAUAUAUAUCAAUUGUUUUGGUUAAACUUCAUUUUUGUGGUUAUUGUUAUCAUAUUGUUAGUUUUCGGAAUAGAAUUACUGGAUUGGAGUUGGUAUUAAGUUCAUCUUGUUAUCAUUGGUUCUUUUUAGUUGCUUGCUUUAUGUUUUUUGAUAUGAAAAACUCUUUGAGUACUGAUCUUAGAAGCAAACCCCGAGUUCUUAGUCAUGUGGCUUAAUGGUUAGAAAUUUUCUAUUCUAGGUUCUGUUUUUAUUUUUCUUUUUUUUCUUUUUUCAGCUGCUAACCAGAACAAUAUUUUCAUGGAACUAUGACAUGAACAUCUGAGGUAAUUGAUGUAGUCACUUCCUUUUUGCUUGUAUAAUGUUUUCUGUUUUUCAUUUCAGCUAGUGCUUAUAUACCUGGAGCACUAGAUUUGAUGACUGACUUACUUCACAACCUCCAAUAUAAGACUACGGAUUAUGGUUUCCAUAUGACAAUUACGAAAUGGGAUGAAGUUGUUUCAAAAGAAAUGGAAAUCAUGGUUAAGGAAAAAGGUUGCUUUCUUAUAUUUUCUGUUUGUAUUGUACGGAUUUCAUCUUACAUUGGACCUUUGUGAACACUUCUUUAAUUUCCUUUUUGUCCAUUUCACGUGAAAUCAGUUUAAGUUUUCAUGUA